rnacentral:antisense_RNA from 1 species
CUCCCGAGUCAUGUGGAAAUGAUCGUUCUGCAGCCUGUUUCGUGGUCUACAGACUCUAGCUCAAGCUACAGGAUCAAGGCUCUACCCACAGAAGGUUGGCAUCUGAGCUGUGUGUGGUUCUAAGGCUUAGACCACUUGAAGACUUCCCCAUCAUGAGACGCCAGGUCUUUUAUUGGGUGCUGGUUCUUAACUCUGGACUUCUCUACAAGUUUUGUCAAACUAUCAAAUGCAGAGCAAAUUGGAGGCCUGCCAGAGCACCCAGAGGGUGGAAUGAAGCAACAGAGAGGCAUCAGGAAAGGAGAACACAGAGGGAGACAGAGAUGGGAGGCAUAAGCACCACCUACUGGCACAGGCUGUGCACUUGCACGGAUAGGAGAGCUGAAAAGUUGGUCAUGGAUGGAAAUAACUGCUGGUUUCACAAAUGAGGAGGCAGAAAAUUCCACUUAAUUUCACUAUUACAAUGCUCAGCAGAAAAAAAAAAAAAACAACUUGGAUUACUGAGCUACAGAACACCCAGACUCAUAGCACUGGGACUUCCAGUUCUUACCUUACGAGUGGGUCACAACACUGACAAAGGGGACAAUAUCCAUUAGCCAUUAUCUUGCUGCGUAUGAAUAACCCUCUCUCACAAAAAUAAAGAUAAAUAUGUUCUGAAAUAAUUGAUAAAAUUAAA